UAUUAUGUUUUUACUUUUGUUAUUAAUAUGUUGUCGAUUAUUGGAAAGCUCUUUUUUAUUAGUAUUUUUAUUGAAAUUUAUUUUUUUAGUUAUAGUUUAUAUUACCGUGAGGGAUUAUUUAUUUAUAUGGAUUAAGUAGGUUUACAGCCGUACCUUUUGCAUCAGGGCUUAUUAAAGUUUUCUAUAUAUGUAUAGUUUUCCCGAAAUUGAAAGAUAUAAAUUAAUAUGCAUGGUUUAUGUAAUAAAAUGAUUUGUAAUAUUAAUUUAGUAGUGAAAUGCUAUUCGUUUUUUAUGAUAUCUGGUUUCUUGAGAAUUGUAUUUAAUACAGGAAUUUAUUACUUGAUUUAUUUCAUUAUUAUAUAAAUUCUUAGCCUGGGGGGGAUUAGCUCCUUAUGCUUUUUAUAAUAAUUACUGUAAUUUGAGAUUAAGUAGGCUUAGAAAUAGUCUUUUUAGUUUGUUAUAAUUUUUUCUCUUUUGUGUUUUAUUUAGUUUUAUUUAAAUUUGUAUUGAGACUUUUAUUUUAAUUGGUUAUAUGAAGUGAUUAUGAUAGGAUUAGUAGUUUUUUAAAUUGUAAUUUAGGAACUCGGCAACUUUAGCUUUCGCCUGUUUAACAAAAACAUGUUCUAUUGAUUAUUUAUUUUAGAUCUGACCUGCCCUAUGAUUGGUAAUUAAAUGGCCGCAGUAUACUGACUGUGCAAAGGUAGCAUAAUCAAUUGUCUUUUAAUUGGAGGCUUGUAUGAAUGGUUGGACGAGGGGCUUUCUUUCUUAAUUAUAUUGUGUGAAUUUAACUUGUUAGUUCAAAGGCUAACAUUUGGAUGUGGGACGAGAAGACCCUAUAGAAUUUUAUUAAUCUAUUUUUAUUAUUCUUUAUAUUUGUUUGGGUUAUAUUAAUUGAUUAUUUUCGUUGGGGUGAUGGAGUAAUUUUAUUAACUUACUUUUAUUUAUUUUCAUUAAUUAGUGUAUUUUUGAUCCCGUGAUUGCGGAUAAUAAGAUAUAAUUACCUUAGGGACGAGGGGCUUUCUUUCUUAAUUAUAUUGUGUGAAUUUAACUUGUUAGUUCAAAGGCUAACAUUUGGAUGUGGGACGAGAAGACCCUAUAGAAUUUUAUUAAUCUAUUUUUAUUAUUCUUUAUAUUUGUUUGGGUUAUAUUAAUUGAUUAUUUUCGUUGGGGUGAUGGAGUAAUUUUAUUAACUUACUUUUAUUUAUUUUCAUUAAUUAGUGUAUUUUUGAUCCCGUGAUUGCGGAUAAUAAGAUAUAAUUACCUUAGGGAUAACAGCGUAAUUUCUUCGGAGAGUUCUUAUCGAUGGAGGAGAUUGCGACCUCGAUGUUGGAUUAAAGUUAGUGUAGGGUGUAUCAGCUCUAUUACUUGGUCUGUUCGACCAUUGAAUCUUUACAUGAUCUGAGUUCAGACCGGCGUGAGCCAGGUUGGUUUCUAUCUUCAUUAAUAAUUUAAUACUUUAGUACGAAAGGACCGAGUAUUAGGAAUAUUUCUUAUUUUAUGAUUAAUAUUAAUUU
rnacentral:rRNA from 1 species